CCCCUCCAAAUGGUUGAUCGAAUCAUGCCAUCUAGCGAUACAUGAUCGGCCCCCGAGGCCUGCUCUCUUCGAUCUCUGGUUCGGGCGAAGUACCUAACGACCUUAGUCUAAAAUCUCCAAGCGAUUAUCAUGUCAGGCCAUUAAGGAGGGUGGCUUAUGCGGUUAUGUCACUCCAUGCUAUUUUCAUGAUUGCCUGCCCAUAUCAUUAAUAAAGGCAGUAGAUGACCAAGAAGAAGU
rnacentral:lncRNA from 1 species